rnacentral:rRNA from 1 species
UAAUACGAAGGGGGCUAGCGUUGCUCGGAAUCACUGGGCGUAAAGCGCACGUAGGCGGCUUUCUAAGUCAGGGGUGAAAUCCUGGAGCUCAACUCCAGAACUGCCUUUGAUACUGGAAAGCUUGAGUUCGGGAGAGGUGAGUGGAACUGCGAGUGUAGAGGUGAAAUUCGUAGAUAUUCGCAAGAACACCAGUGGCGAAGGCGGCUCACUGGCCCGAUACUGACGCUGAGGUGCGAAAGCGUGGGGAGCAAACAGG